AAUUUCAUUUUGUCGCUCAUUUUUAUCGCCCAUUCUUAUUAGCCUCUUUAUUCGUAUAGGCUGGAACGCUUUUAAUCAUGUUCGGCUUGUGUUUGGUUACCAAGUCUCAUAAGUUUUUUUUCUUUCGUUGCAAAAACCACAUUUAACUUACGGCGGAUGCAUAACGUCGUUUUUUACGACAUUUUCUUUUAAAAGAAACAAAUUAAUACGAAAACUAAACUAAUAGUGAGAAUCCUAACAGAAAAUAGUGUUAAAAUAAAAUAACAAUAAGUGAAAAAUCUAUAGAAAAACAACGAAAAAAUUGUAUUUAUGAAAUGGUGAAUGUAUGUGGAUAGAUAAUUAUAAUUGGUGCAUUGACGAAAAUAUUUUUUCUUCAUUUCCUUGCCAUCUCUUUGAACAACACACAGACAGACUUAUGAAAACACGCAUAACAUUCUCUCUCCCUCUCUUGCUGUCAACCUGAUAUAUGUAUGUUGAAGAGAUGUGAAAUAAAGGAACGUCAAAAAUUAGUGCUUAAAUAUUGGAAAAAUAAAGAAAAUUUAUUCUAAAUAGAAUCUAAAUAAACAACAAAACAGUGAAUUUUGUGUAAAAUAACAAGCCGAUAUUUUGAAAUUAACAACGAAAUAUAUGUUCUUCGUCGUUUUGCUUACAUACUUACGACGUAUCUCAUUAUUUUUCCUUCCUUCACUCGAAAGAUAACCAAAAUAAAAAAGUGUAGCAAAUAAGCAGCAAAGUAAAGUGAAAGAAAAAAAAACCCGAAGAAAGAAGGAAAAAAGAAAGGUGGAAGUGUAAGAAGAAGCAGAAUAUACUCUGUGCCUGCCUUGAAAAUACAACUGCCCGCUGUAAAAAUAUUUUUGUACCAUUAAAACCCCGAAAACGAAUAGAAAAAUUAUUUUGUGUGAAAAAAAGGAAAAAUUUUGAUGUGUUUUUUGUUGUGUUGUGUUAUUCUAAUACAAUUGAAUUGAUAUUGUUGUGGUGCGUCCAAAAUAAUUUUGAUUGGAAAAAGUGAAAUACAAAUCGGAAAAGAUUAUUGAGGAUAUCAUCCGCCGUCUCGCCGCCUGUUGUAUGUGUGUGGAAAAAAGGUGUGCUUUCUUUUUUAAGAGUUAAGUUUUUUUCGGUUUUGUGGUCUUAUCUUAUUAACACGCCGCCACAACCGCCACCUUCAUUUGGAAUAGCUGAAAACCCCCAAAGGAAUAUAUUUCGACGACGACACCGUCGCCGCCACAACCGUCAUCCAUUUGUUAUAGUUGUUGUAGCUUUUUUUGGAUACCUUUUCCCGUGUGUGGUGCUGCGGCAAAAAAGCAGAGUGCGACGUCUACGUCAUUUGCCGUUGAUGUACUGUAUUUCAUCUGCUUCCUCUUCAUCAUCAUCAUCAUCAUUUAUUAGGUAAAUGUUCAUUACAAUAGAGUUGGUGAGUUUAUUGAAAACAAACAACUAAUUAAAUGACGUGAGUAUGGAUGACAAUCCAUCCCACUUCCCCUCUGGAGAAAACUGUAGUAAAAAUCAAUCUUUAUUUUCCCCUUUUUGGGUAUUCCAUCCCAUUACCGUGUUAGAAACUCCACAUUCAAUACCACUAAUAAUGUUAUCUUUUGAUUACGAAACUCUCACGGAAUACAUUCUUUCCGCCCCAAACCUAAUGUUGAUGAUUCAUCCGGUGAUUAUAAAAUGUCGAAAAAAACCAAAAAAAAAAAAAAAAAAGAAAUGAUGAAAACCUUUCUCGUGAUCAUCAUUAACCAAAAAAAAAAAAACGAACAAGAACGAAAAUCGUAUAAUUUAACAUUCUCGUGUACGUGUUUAUUAUAUCGUCGGGGCUUUCAACUUUGUUGUAACAUCAUGACUUUUUUGUUGUUGCAAAAUGAAAAAAAAAACAAAACAAUACUAAAUUAAAAAAAAGAAAGAAAAUUGAGUUGAAAACAAAAAACAAUACUCAUCACAACAAACAAUUAAAAGAAAAUUAUAAAAAUGGAAAAAAACAUUUUUUUCUUUUUACAAACACCACGUAAUCAAUCUUCGUAUUUGUAACACCACGUCUCGCGUUGCAAGAGAGGAAAGCGACGCUUGACGUUGUAACAGAAUCUUGCCCGUCAUAAAACAAAAA